rnacentral:rRNA from 1 species
UACGAAGGGUGCAACCGUUGCUCGGAAUUAUUGGGCGUAAAGCGCACGUAGGCGGCUUAGCAAGUCGGAUGUGAAAUCCCUCGGCUCAACCAAGGAAGUGCAUCCGAAACUGCUGAGCUUGAGUACUUAAGAGGAUCGCGGAAUUCCCGGUGUAGAGGUGAAAUUCGUAGAUAUCGGGAGGAACACCAGUGGCGAAGGCGGCGACCUGGGCCAAUACUGACGCUGAGUGAGCGAAAGCCAGGGGAGCAAACGGG